rnacentral:rRNA from 1 species
AUUGAACGCUGGCGGCAGGCCUAACACAUGCAAGUCGAGCGGGGUUUUCGGACCUAACGGCGGACGGGUGAGUAAUGCGUAGGAAGCUACCCGAUAGAGGGGGAUACCAGUUGGAAACGACUGUUAAUACCGCAUAAUGUCUACGGACCAAAGUGUGGGACCUUCGGGCCACAUGCUAUCGGAUAUGCCUACGUGGGAUUAGCUAGUUGGUGAGGUAAUGGCUCACCAAGGCGACGAUCCCUAGCUGGUUCGAGAGGAUGAUCAGCCACACUGGAACUGAGACACGGUCCAGACUCCUACGGGAGGCAGCAGUGGGGAAUAUUGGACAAUGGGCGCAAGCCUGAUCCAGCCAUGCCGCGUGUGUGAAGAAGGCCUUCGGGUUGUAAAGCACUUUCAGUAAGGAGGAAGCGUUGAGUGUUAAUAGUACUCAGCGUUGACGUUACUUACAGAAGAAGCACCGGCUAACUCUGUGCCAGCAGCCGCAGUAACAC